rnacentral:rRNA from 1 species
AGUUUUCGGACGAUGGAAGUAGAGGAAAGUGGCGGACGGGUGAGUAACGCGUGAGGAACCUGCCUUGAAGAGGGGGACAACAGUUGGAAACGACUGCUAAUACCGCAUGAAGCAUAGGGGUCGCAUGAUUCUUAUGCCAAAGAUUUAUCGCUUCAAGAUGGCCUCGCGUCUGAUUAGCUAGUUGGUGAGGUAACGGCCCACCAAGGCGACGAUCAGUAGCCGGACUGAGAGGUUGAACGGCCACAUUGGGACUGAGAUACGGCCCAGACUCC